GAUGAACGCUGGCGGCGUGCCUAAUACAUGCAAGUCGAGCGAACGGACGAGAAGCUUGCUUCUCUGAUGUUGGCGGCGGACGGGUGAGUAACACGUGGAUAACCUACCUAUAAGACUGGGAUAACUUCGGGAAACCGUAGCUAAUACCGGAUAAUAUUUUGAACCGCAUGGUUCAAAAGUGAAAGACGGUCUUGCUGUCACUUAUAGAUGGAUCCGCGCUGCAUUAGCUAGUUGGUAAGGUAACGGCUUACCAAGGCAACGAUGCAUAGCCGACCUGAGAGGGUGAUCGGCCACACUGGAACUGAGACACGGUCCAGACUCCUACGGGAGGCAGCAGUAGGGAAUCUUCCGCAAUGGGCGAAAGCCUGACGGAGCAACGCCGCGUGAGUGAUGAAGGUCUUCGGAUCGUAAAACUCUGUUAUUAGGGAAGAACAUAUGUGUAAGUAACUGUGCACAUCUUGACGGUACCUAAUCAGAAAGCCACGGCUAACUACGU
rnacentral:rRNA from 1 species